GACGAACCGUGCGAACGUUGUUCGGAAUCACUGGGCUUAAAGGGUGCGUAGGCGGCGGAGUAAGUUGGGUGUGAAAUCCCGGGGCUCAACCUCGGAAUGGCAUUCAAUACUGCUUCGCUAGAGUACUGGAGAGGAGGCUGGAAUUUACGGUGUAGCAGUGAAAUGCGUAGAUAUCGUAAGGAAGGCCGGUGGCGAAAGCGAGCCUCUGGACAGUUACUGACGCUGAUGCACGAAGGCCAGGGGAGCAAACGGG
rnacentral:rRNA from 1 species